UUGACAACAAGUUAAUCCGCUAGACCAACUAACACAAUGGAUAAGACUUUAUCGCAUUCGCGACCUACGGAACCAGGAUUAACUGGUCGAUCACUUUAAAUAUCGGCCGAUAUUUAGAGCAGUGAGUCUAACACAUUUUGUUCGGUAAUGUUAUGUGACGAACGUUCACUAGGGGAUGGUCUCAGCGAACGCCCCACAGACCAUGGAAGGUGGCAGCUUUUGAAUGAAAAUGCACUAACAUUAAAGAAAUGACAUGCUUUUUGUCAACAAUGCCAUCCCCAGACGCUAAAACUAUCGGGAUAGCAGCUUGCAAAUGCCAGCCUAGCUGGCGAACAUUUCCUAGUUAGAAGGGUCCCUACAGUGACUUUGUAAAUCUCAAAAUGAUAUGCCGGCUCAGUCUCUCGAAGAUGCUCAUAGACGUAGGGUGUGCAUGUGUGCGUUCAUAGAAAUAAGUGUAUGAAGAAGUCCAUCGCUGCACGCAGCGGCAUCUGCACGCAGCGCAUCCACGGCUGGCACAGCGUCGCGAUUAGGACCAGCCGGAAGUGCUACUUCGAGUAUAGUGCACCGCUGACUAGCGUUAUGUUUCGUAUUUGUUGUAUUCAUUGUACUACGCACUGACAGCCGACUGACGCAUCUACUGCAAGCACUGCACAUGUCCAGGCGAGAGGACGGAAUACUACCGUUGGACCCAACACUGUAUAACGUAAACACUUUACCCAGCAACAUGUAUUUAAUGCCCAUGCACCAGCCGUGGACAGUACCGAUCGUUUUGCUCUUUCUCCUUCAAACACGCACACAAGCACCUCGAGUUGCCGCGUCCUGUCGACGCCGCCGUGGCGCGAUGUCCCAGAGCUCGUCUCCGGUCACCCCCGCCCCCGCUGCGAUUGAUCCUGUGCCCGAGGUGUGCCGGGACGACGACUAGAUGGUUUGUCUCUGGGACCCCGGUCUGUUUUGACAAGUGCCCGAACCAGGGAGACGGAGGCCCGUGCGACUUUUGGUUGUGGGAGGAGACCAGUACGCCUUCUUCAUCACUGGCGUUGGCAUCAACCUCUCAUCGAGGCGGCCGAGGUGGGAGCAACAUGAUGUACGGUAUCGGGCGCGCCAUGGAAGAUGUACGCAUCGCGGCUAGGAACACCAUGAUGAUUUGCUUGUUCAUGCUCCUGCUGGUGCUUGUCAAGGCAGUCGGUGGGCAGUAAAGUUCCAAAGAUGGUGUUCCACGCACGACGGCCUCGGAAGAGCAUGAUUGUAGUCAUGACCUUCGUGCAUAGAAAAUUGUCGCUAUCCCGACAGAUAAUCAACUGUUUCAACGUACAUAUGCAGACCACACACCAUUAGCCAAACACCAUGGACAUGCAGACCAUUGAGUGUUAUUAGCAGACCACAUCUUUUUUUGUCAACGAACAAUAACCAGGGUACAUAAUUCCCGGGCACUCGUGCUCAUGAUUAAGAACACGAGUAAGGACCAUUUUGCCAAGCUUGAUUCAGACUAUAUUCCAUUCCCCAUUCUACA